rnacentral:lncRNA from 1 species
UAAUAUAAUAAUAUAGAAUAAUAAAAAUUAUUAUGUGAUGAUAACAAAAAGAUUUUCUAAUUAAUUUUAUAUUUUUUAACAAAUAAAAAAAUAUACUAUCAAUCUUAAUUAUAGUACAUAUUAAAGUACACAAGCUAGAGAAAAAAAAUUUUUGACCAAAGUAAAUAUUCAACUAAAAUGCAAAAUUCAAUCCUGCUCUAUUAUCUAUGAAUUGGUAUGCAAAAUAAUUUACAUUUACAUAUUGAUGUGCGAAAUAAAAUGAUAACUAAAAUUGAUAUGAAAAAUUACAAAUGACAUUAAUAUUUAAGCAUAUAAUGAGAUCAACUAAACUUUCAUAUUUGACACAAAUUAGAGUAAGCACACAUAUAUUAUGUUCCUACUGUCGCUUUUAAGAUUCAAAAAUAUAUAGAUGUUGGUUUUCAAGAAAAUAUAAAGAAAAAAAAUUUUGUUGCAUGAAGAUGAAAAGUUACAUGAGUGACAGAAGGGAAAAAAAUUACGAAAUGAAAAUUACAGAAGUGACAGUAGGGAAAUAAUAUGUUCUAUUUUAAAGCAUCAAUAUUUAAGAGCGAAGAAAAUUACAGGAGUGAUGUGAGUUUUAAAUUUUUUUCUCUUUCCAAAAAUGCCUCUAUCCUUUUUUACUAAUAUUUUUAUGUCCAGAAAUUUUCAACCAAUCAUUUUAAAUAAUUAACUAAGUAAUAAUUUAUUCCCAAAUAAAGAUAAAUAUUUUUCUUCUCACGCGUAAUAUCCGCACCGCCAAUUCUUUCGCAACAUAAUAUCCAUAAAUUUCUCAAAUAUCUCAACAUAAUUAUAGGUGACUUUGAAAUAAAAUUUCCUUCAUUAUAUGUGAUUUUUAAUAAUAUAGUAAAAGAUAUUAAUUUUUUAUAAAAACGUGAGUUUUGAAUUUUUUCUCUUUCCAAAAAUGUCUCUAUCCUUUUUUACUAAUAUUUUUAUGUCCAGAAAUUUUCAACAAAUCAUUUCAAAUAAUUAACUAAGUAGUAAUUUAUUUUCAAAUAAAGAUAAAUAUUUUUCUUCUCACGCAUAAUAUCUGCACCGGUCAAUUUUUUUGCCACAUAAUAUCCGUAAAUUUUUUAAAUAUCUCAACAUAAUUAUAGAUGACUUUGAAAUAAUUUCUCCUUCAUUAAAGGUGAUUUUUAAUAAUAUAGUAAAAGAUAUUAAUUUUUUGCCAUUAGAUCUUAUCUAAUGAUUGAAAAUAAAAAUAUCUGUUAAUUUUUGUGACAAUAUUACCCUCGCAUUUAUAUCCUAUUUUCUAUCUUUCUAUCUUUUCUAAAAUAAAAUAUCUAUAUUUGAACUUGACACGUAGAUUAUUUUUCCUAAAGCAGUAAUAUCCGCACCCGCCAAUUCUUUCGCGUAAAUUUCUCAAAUAUCUCAACAUAAUUAUAGAUGACUUUGAAAUAAAAUCACCUUCAUUCAUUAUAGGUUAUUUUUAAUAAUAUUGUAAAAGAUACUAUUUCCUUAAAAAAUUUAAAUUUAUUUUUUCUAAAAUAGUCAUAUUCCCUAAAGUAGUAAUAUCCGCACAACAUAAUUAUAGGUGACUUUGAAAUAUUCUCUAAAAUAAAAAAUCUAUAAAAAAAAAAUAUAUAAACAUUCAAAAGAUCAAAAGAUAUAUCUAUAAUUAUAAACACAUACUUGUCGUCCUCAAGUAGUAUCGUAAUUUUUUUUGUUUCUUUACCGUCCUUGCAGUUUUCUUCCAUUCUACUAAUUCCAAAAAGCUUCCCAAUGAUAUCUAAGAUAAUAUAAUAAUAAAAUGUAAUUAUAAACACAUACUUGUCGUCCUCAAGUAGUAUCGUAAUCUUUUUUGUUUCUUUACCGUCUUUGCAGUUUUCUUCCAUUCUACUAAUUCCAAAAAGCUUCCCAAUGACAUCUGAGAUAAUAUAAUAAUAAAAUGUAAGAAUCAAUAUAAUAGAUACACAUAUUAAAAAUUAAAUUUUAAAAAUUAAAUAUUUGAUGCAUGUAAUAACUCUUACCUACUAAAUAUUUGUCAUCAGCGACAUUACCAAGUAUUUCAUCAAAAGGAGUAAAUAUAAAUCCAUAUUUUGACGUUGAUUAAAUAAUUAAUUAAACUAAUAAUUUCAAAUAAUUCGUAACCAAAUAUCCAUAUUUGAGUUUGACACGUGGCAAGCAUAUAGAAAGCCACGUGUCAGCUUCUCACACAGGAUAUGGCAAGCAUACACGUGUCAGCUUCUCACAUAGGAUUCAUUAAGGGUUCUACUUUUAUAUAUAGUAAUAGAUAAGAAAUGUUGGUGAUGGUAGAAAGGUAUAUUUGAAAAGACAAAAAAUUAAAAUAUUUUUUGUACUCCUAACUUAAGGGCAAAUAAGAAAAAUAGGUGAUGAUGGAAGGAUAUAUUUGAAAGGGUAAAAUAGUAAUUUUAUAUAGAUAAUGGCUAUUGCUAACCGGUUAUUAACGAAAUUUAACUUUAGAAAUAUAUUUGAAAUAGUUGGAACAUAAAGAGGAUAUUUUUAAUAUUAGCCUUCUACGAGGGAUAAAUCAGAAAUUCGAAAACUUUUCAGGAGUAUAUAAACAAUUGUCCCUAAAAUAAAUUAUCUUAUAGGUUAAAUAGGCUUUCUAUAAAGUAAUAGAAAGUAGGAUAUCUUAGGGUAAUUUUGAAACAAACUAUAUUUUAUUGUCAGGAUUUCUGAAUUUUAUAAAAUAAACAAAAUACAGUAAUUUUAUAUACACUAUAUUAAAUUAAACGCAACAAUGCAACAUCAAUAGUAAUCUGAUUUAAAAAUCUCAAAUAUAUGGUCAUAUCAAAAUAACUUGUAAUACUAUAUAAUGUGAACCAAACGCGCCCAAAAAGAAAAUGUUCAAAUGAGAAGAUCAUUAAAGUACAUAGUAUAAUGUUCAAAUGAGAAGAUCUUAUGUGAUUAUAUAAGAAAAUAACUUUGAACGCUGAGUACGAUAUAUUAUGCAGAGUUUUUUUUUAGAUGUAGAUAGCAUGCUACCCGCUUCGUUUAUUUUAUUUAAAAAUAAAUUUUGCUGACAAUGUGAAUCAAUUCAUAUUCAAACUUGAAACUUCAAGUACCAAUCAUCAAAUCAUUUGCCACUUAUGUUAGGAACAGUCAAUAUUAUACUAGAAAUUAAAUCACGCUUUUUACCUACUAAAAACCUAAAGUUAUGGUUAAUAAAGAAAAAUAUUAAUUUGAAAGGCUAAAUAAUUUUAUUUGUGGAUAACGGAAUGUUCUGGAACAAACAGAAAUACGAAAGAAAGACGAAAAUUGUUUUUGAUUUUGUAUUGUUCUUACUCCCUAAAAUGUUGUAGUCUUCCGGAGAUUUGGAUAGGAUUGACUACAGAAUUAGUGACUGGUCGACACAUCUGGAGAUUGUCGGACUGAGUCUGUAGUGUUCUUGACCUUUGGAUAGGAUUGGCUUCAGUAUUGGUGACUGGUCGACAUCUUUGGAGAGUGUCGGACUGAGUCGGAGUCAAUUCUGCACGUAUUGGAUGCAGAAUUGGACUCGGCGCACUCAAAUAGGCAAAACUGGAGUUGUGCCAGAUUCGGGCGCCCAAAACAUUUUUAGGGUCGCCCAGAACUGAGUGUUAAAUUUAACUGAAACUGGAAGC